rnacentral:rRNA from 1 species
GAUGAACGCUGGCGGCGUGCUUAACACAUGCAAGUCGAACGGUGAAGCCGAGCUUGCCCUGUGGUUCCGUUGCGAACGGGUGAGUAACUCGUGAGCACCCUGCCCCUGACUCUGAGAUAAGCGCUGUAAACGGCGUCUAACACUGGAUAUUUGCUGCGACCGCAUGUUCAGCCGUUUGAAAGAUUUCUCGGUCUGGGUUGGGUUCACGGCCUAUCAGCUUGUUGGUGAGGGAAUGGCUCACCAAGGCGUCGACGGGUAGCCGCACUGAGAGGGUGACCGGCCACACUGGGACUAAGACAAGGCCCAGAAUCCAACGGAAGGCAGCAGUGGGGAAUAUUGCACAAUAGGCGAAAGCCUGAUGCAGUAACGACGCGUGGGAGAUGACGGCAUUCGGGUUGUAAACCUCUUUGUGCAGGGAAGAAGCGAACGUGACGGUACCUGCUGAAAAAGCCCCGGCUAACUACGUG